rnacentral:rRNA from 1 species
GACGAACGCUGGCGGCGUGCUUAACACAUGCAAGUCGAACGAAGAGCGAUGGAAGCUUGCUUCUAUCAAUCUUAGUGGCGAACGGGUGAGUAACGCGUAAUCAACCUGCCCUUCAGAGGGGGACAACAGUUGGAAACGACUGCUAAUACCGCAUACGAUCUAAUCUCGGCAUCGAGGAUAGAUGAAAGGUGGCCUCUACAUGUAAGCUAUCACUGAAGGAGGGGAUUGCGUCUGAUUAGCUAGUUGGAGGGGUAACGGCCCACCAAGGCGAUGAUCAGUAGCCGGUCUGAGAGGAUGAACGGCCACAUUGGGACUGAGACACGGCCCAGACUCCUACGGGAGGCAGCAGGGGGGAAUCUUCCGCAAUGGACGAAAGUCUGACGGAGCAACGCCGCGUGAGUGAUGACGGCCGUCGGGUUGUAAAGCUCUGUUAAUCGGGACGAAAGGCCUUCUUGCGAAUAGUGAGAAGGAUUGACGGUACCGGAAGAGAAAGCCACGGCUAACUACGUG